rnacentral:rRNA from 1 species
UGGGAGAUAUUGCACAAUGGGCGCAAGCCUGAUGCAGCCAUGCCGCGUGUAUGAAGAAGGCCUUCGGGUUGUAAAGUACUUUCAGCGAGGAGGAAGGCAUUAAGGUUAAUAACCUUAGUGAUUGACGUUACUCGCAGAAGAAGCACCGGCUAACUCCGUGCCAGCAGCCGCGGUAAUACGGAGGGUGCAAGCGUUAAUCGGAAUUACUGGGCGUAAAGCGCACGCAGGCGGUCUGUCAAGUCGGAUGUGAAAUCCCGGGCUCAACCUGGAACUGCAUUCGAAACUGGCAGGCUAGAGUCUUGUAGA